AUGCUCAAAAUUCUCCAAGCCAGACUUCAGCAAUACGUGAACCAUGAAAUCCCUGAUAUUCAAGCUGGUUUUCGAAAAGGCAGAGGAACCAGAGAUCAAAUUGCCAACAUCCACUGGAUCAUGGAAAAAGCAAGAGAGUUCCAGAAAAACAUCUAUUUCUGCUUUAUUGACUAUGCCAAAGCCUUUGACUGUGUGGAUCACAAUAAACUGUGGAAAAUUUUGAAAGAGAUGGGAAUACCAGACCACCUGACCUGCCUCUUGAGAAAUCUGUAUGCAGGUCAGGAAGCAACAGUUAGAACUGGACAUGGAAUAACAGACUGGUUCCAAAUAGGAAAAGGAGUACGUCAAGGCUGUCUACCGUCACCCUGCUUAUUUAACUUACAUGCAGAGUACAUCAUGAGAAACACUGGACUGGAAGAAAUACAAGCUGGAAUCAAGAUUGCUGGGAGAAAUAUCAAUCACCUCAGAUAUGCAGAUGACACCACCCUUACGGCAGAAAGUGAAGAGGAGCUACAAAGCCUCUUGAUGAAAGUGAAAGAGGAGAGCGAAAAAGUUGGCUUAAAGCUCAAUAUUCAGAAAACGAAGAUCAUGGCAUCUGGUCCCAUCACUUCAUGGGAAAUAGAUGGAGAAACAGUGGAAACAAUGUCAGACUUUAUUUUGGGGGGCUCCAAAAUCACUGCAGAUGGUGACUGCAGCCAUGAAAUUAAAAGACGCUUACUCUUUGGAAGAAAAGUUAUGACCAACCUAGAUAGCAUAUUCAAAAGCAGAGACAUUACUUUGCCUACUAAGGUCCGCCUAGUCAAGGCUAUGGUUUUUCCAGUGGUCAUGUAUGGAUGUGAGAGUUGGACUGUGAAGAAGGCUGAGCGCCGAAGGAUUGAUGCUUUUGAACUGUGGUGUUGGAGAAGACUCUUGAGAGUCCCUUGGACUACAAGGAGAUCCAACCAGUCCAUUCUGAAGGAGAUCAGCCCUGGGAUUUCUUUGGAAGGAAUGAUGCUAACACUGAAGCUCCAGUACUUUGGACACCUCAUGCAAAGAGUUGACUCAUUGGAAAAGACUCUGAUGCUGGGAGGGAUUGGGGGCAGGAGGAGAAGGGGAUGA
rnacentral:lncRNA from 1 species